AAGGAGACAAGUUCUUCCAACUGUUCCUCAUCUGUUGGAUUGUGUUCAGGUAGAGGGGACCUUUCCAGAUGGAACAAAAUUAAUCACCAUCCAUGACCCUAUAGCAUGUGAAAAUGGAAAUCUGGAUCUAGCUCUGCAUGGUUCUUUCCUUCCUGUUCCUCCUCUGGAAAAGUUUCCAGUGAUAGAAGAUAGCAAAAUUCCUGGCCAGAUGUGCUUUGGAGGUGGACUUAUUGUCCUUAAUCCUCAAAGAGAGGCAGUAAUUCUCAAAGUCACUAAUACAGGUGACAGACCGAUUCAGGUUGGCAGCCACUACCACUUUAUCGAGGUCAAUCCAUCCUUGAUAUUUGAUCGAAAGAGAGCACAUGGCAUGCGUCUAAAUAUACCUGCAGG
rnacentral:misc_RNA from 1 species